GUAGUCAUAUGCUUGUCUCAAAGGUUAAGCCAUGCAUGUCUAAGUAUAAGCACUUGUACUGUGAAACUGCGAAUGGCUCAUUAAAUCAGUUAUCGUUUAUUUGAUUGUACCAUUUACUACUUGGAUAACCGUGGUAAUUCUAGAGCUAAUACAUGCGAAAAGUCCCGACUUCUGGAAGGGAUGUAUUUAUUAGAUUCAAAACCAAUGCGGGUUCUGCCCGGUUGUUUGGUGAUUCAUAGUAACUGUUCGAAUCGCACGGCCUUGCGCUGGCGAUGUUUCAUUCAAAUUUCUGCCCUAUCAACUGUCGAUGGUAAGGUAUUGGCUUACCAUGGUUACAACGGGUAACGGGGAAUG
rnacentral:rRNA from 1 species